rfam:Dipodomys ordii contig_35373, whole genome shotgun sequence.
GUGGCUCAGUGGUAGAGUGCUUGCCUUGCAUGCAUGAGGUCCUGGGUUCAAUUCCUCAGC